rnacentral:rRNA from 1 species
CGGAGGGUGCAAGCGUUGUCCGGAUUUAUUGGGUUUAAAGGGUGCGUAGGCGGUUUUUUAAGUCAGUGGUGAAAUCCUGCAGCUCAACUGUAUGAACUGCCAUUGAUACUGAAAAACUUGAGUACAGACGAGGUAGGCGGAAUUUAUGGUGUAGCGGUGAAAUGCAUAGAUACCAUAAAGAACACCGAUUGCGAAGGCAGCUUACUAGGCUGUAACUGACGCUGAGGCACGAAAGUGUGUGGAUCAAACAGGAUUAGAUACCCUGGUAGUCCACACUGUAAACGAUGAUUACUCGAUGUUAGCGAUAAACCGUUAGCGUCCAAGCGAAAGCGUUAAGUAAUCCACCUGGGGAGUACGAUCGCAAGAUUG